UUUUUUUCUUUUUUUUUUUUUAGAGAGGGAAUGGAGGGAGAGGUAGAGGAAGAGAGAAUCCCAAGCAGGCUUUAUACCUGAUGCAGGACCUGACACAGGGCCUGACGUGGGGCUCCAUCUCAUGACCCUGAGAUCAAGACCUGAGCUGAAAUCAAGAGUUGGUCAUUUAACCAACGGAACCACCCAGGCACCCUACUCAUAGGGCCUUUAAAGUGCUUUAAGUACCAUACUGACAUCCUUAUUAAUAUAUAUAACAGCAUUGAGAGAGAAAUAAAUCAUAGCAGUUAAAAAUACUGGCUUUUGGGGAGCUCUGGUGGCACAGCGGUUUAGCACCGCCUGCAGCCCAGGUUGUGAUCCUGGAGACCUGGGAUUGAGUCCCACGUCAGACUCUCUGAGUGGAGCCUGCUUCUCCCUCUGCCUGUGUCUCUCAUGAAUAAAUAAAUAAAAUCUUCAAAAAAAAUCUUAUAUUAAAAAAAAUUACUGGUUUUGCAGUUUAUCAUAACUGGGUUCAAAUCCAGAUUCUGGUAUUAAACAGCUUUGGAACUUUAGAAAGAUGCAUUACCUCUCCUAGCCUCAAUUUACCUAUAUAUAAAAUGGAGAUAAUAUUUUGUGAAAUUUUGUGAUAAUUAAAUGAAAUUAAGUAACUUUAAAAAUUAAGCAAAAUUAGGGGUGUCUACAUGGUUCAGUUGUUUAAGCUUCUGACUUUAGCACAAGUCAUGAUCCUGGAGUACUGGGAUGGAGCCCCACAUUGGUUUCCCUGCUUAGUGGAGAGUCUGCAUCUAUCCCUCUCCCUCUGCCCCUCUUCUCACUUAUGCUCUGGCUCUCUAUCUCAAAUAAAUUCUUUUUAAAAAUUAAGCAAAAUUAAUGAAUUAAGUGAAAUUAAAGUUCUUGUAAAAUAGUAAACACUCCAUAAGCAGUUGAUAUCAUUAUAAUUGUUAAUAAACCCAUUUCCAAGUCAAGCCAGGUAAAUUUCAUUUGGCUUUCUCUUCACCAAAUUGAACUGUCUUGACGCCCUUACCCUUCACUAAAUGACACCCAUAUCUUCAACUUCUCUGGAAUAUUUUUGAUACUUGUAGUACUUUCAGAGAGCAUGUAUGGAAAGCAGUCUCUAAAAUAAUUCAGUUUCAAAGGUCAAGCAGAUGAUGUAUAGUUAAUACUUCACUAAAAAGUUCAAAACAUUUUACACUUCACCAAAAGUUGCAUGGACCUUGCUUUCACAAAUUUUUGUCUCUGCAAAGCCCACAUCUUAAGAAUCUUCCUAACAAUAGCUAGACAUUAUUUAGCACUCACUGUGUGCCAGGCCCUAUUCAAAGCACCUUACUUAUAUUAAUAGCUUUAAUUCUCCCAAUACCCCUGUUCAGUAACUGAAUUACUAACCUCAUCUUAAUGUGGGAAAACUGAGAGACAAAUAAUUAAGGAUAGCUGGAGGACCAAGGUUAUACUAUUAGGAAGUAGCUAAGGGAGGAAAUUAACCCAAGCAGUCUGAUUUUGGAUCUUGGGCUCUUACCCACUCUACUAAACUUAAUGCGAACACCAACAGUUCUAAGACCUUAAUCGGCUUGGCCAACUUUGUGACCUGAAAUUACUGGAGAGUUCCCAGCUCUACACUUUGCACUGUGUAGACCUGGCCUUAGAGUCUGUAGCUGUAUUUGGUCACAUUUGCCAUAGCCAGUCAUUAAAAUCGUUAAGAUUGGACCCUCGGUCACAUGAUAUUCUAUUCUGAUUCUCAUCAUUAACAUCUACAGGAAAACCUUGGAUUUCUUCAAGCCAACCACUGUCCCCUCUGCUCACAUUAGAUAAGGGUCCUACAACCUUACAAAGAAAUCAAAUGAAACACACAAAAAUACAUAGGAAGGGGAAAAAUACACACUUUGGUUUCAGUUAUAUGGUGAUUUCACGUGGGGGUAAGAUAGCAUAAGGCCUUAAGAAAUACAGUUGACGUUUGAACAACGUGGGGGUUAGGGACGCCAACCCCCAAAUAUCAAAAAUCUACAUAUAACUUUCGACUCCCCAUAAACCUAAUUACUCAUUGCCUACCACUGACCAGAAGUCUUACUGAUAACACAAUUUACACAUACUUUGUACACUAUAUGUAUAUGCACUGUAUUCCCACAAUAAAGUACGCUAGAGAAAAGAAAAUGUUAAGAAAAUCAUAAGAGAAAAAAAAAAGAAAAUCAUAAGAGAAAAUACAUUUACAAUACUGUAUCAGGUUUAUCUUUUAAAAAUGAACCUACACAGUUCAAACCUGUGUUGUUCAAGGGUCAACUGUAUAGAUUCCUAAUAAAACAAUAAGAGAUGAUUUAUCCAAUUUCAGGACUAGAGUAUGAAAAAUUCUCGUCCCAGUCUGUGUUACUUAAAGUGAAACUGCACCACACACCAGCAUGCACCAACAGUUCAAACCUUCAAGCCUUGUACGAGACAAUUUUAGGGGGCCCACAUCCCAAACACGAUCCAGGGCAUUUAUAGAGUUGGCUUCAUUUCAUUCUUGAUAGAGGCUGUUUGUGUGGCUCAUAGUAAAUUCGACAGAUUCAAAAUAUUGUUUUAUCACUCUGACUCCAAGAAACGGUGGUAGCCCUCCUGCAUGAAUCCCUUCAGAUCCAUGCUGUGAAAAUGACCCAGCAGUGGACCAUGUAAAUGUCUGAACCUCUCUCUGGAUCUGCCCUAAUGACUGAAUGCUAACCUCCAAUAUAAAAUAAAAAGAAAGAGAAUGAAAAAAACACAUAGGCCUGGUUGCAUUUCUUUUGUAUCGGCCAACCCUCUUCCAGUAGAUUCAUUUUAAUUUCAUUUAGUCCCACAACAUAAAAACAUAGUUCAUUUUCCAAGUAUGAUCUCUGUGCUUUUCUUGUAGCUUGGCUGGCUUUGAUUUACUUAAGAGACAAUGUCCCUUGAGUAAACAUUAUAUGGCUUUAAAAAUAACAGAAGCAUUAUUUGAAACAAAGGUUGCAUUGGAAAGUGAAUGUAAACUUAAGGCUUAAUUACAUGUUGUGUCGUAAUGUAACUUCUGGCCAGGGAUUGAAAACACUCUACAACUGAGUGCCAACUUGCCUUUUCAGUGUUUUCUUGACCUUAUUAGUGAUGUGGGAGAAAUGUGUGGGCUUUGGGGUGGGGGGGGUCAGUGAGAUCAUUUGUUCACCAACAUUUACUGGGAAAGUAUUAUGUAUAAAUUAUAGUAAUAGGUACUGGGGACCCAAAAAUGAAUAUUAUUAAUAAUGUAAAUGCUGCUCCAUUCCUUUGAAAAGUUCAAUUCAAUAAAAAGAAACACACACAAAAGUAAUUACAAUACAGUAUAUGUGAAGUAUUAGAAGUACACUUAAUAUACAGUGAAAUGACUCCUCCUAGAUAUCCCCAGGGUACCUUAUGUUCAAAUUCUGCCCAAACUAGUGUUCUUGUGGUGUUCUUUAUCCCCAUGACUAGCUUUAUCAUUCACCCAGGAACACAGGGACCAGCCUUCAUUACCACUUUUUCCUUAUCCUCCAUACCUAAUCCUAAAUAUGAAUUUUGUCAUCCCUAUUAUCACACUCCUAAUUCAAUAGAUCUGUGUCUCUUACUUGAACUAACAAAUCUAGCAUUAUCUACUCAGCUCACUCUUAAACUCAUUCUUCACCCAGUAGCCAGGAUGAAUUCUUUAAAAAAAAACAAAAAACAAACAAAAAAAACCCCAAUAAUCCUGAUCAUGAUCUUCUCUUUCUCAUUUUGAAUGGUUUUCCACUCCUUUUAGAAUAAAGAGACUCCUCCUUAACACAGCUUAUGAGGUUCUUCAGUAUCUAGCCCCUAGUUACUUCUCUAGCUUCAUUCAAUACCUCAUUCCCACUGAACUUGGUCUUUAGUCAAUCCCUUCAUAUAUUCUGAUGGGGGUCAAGACACACUACCCCAAAAUAUGGUAUCUUGGCACAUUGAAUAUUUUAAGCCGAAGGAAUCUGAGCAAGCAGAAGAAGCAGGAAGGUCAGAGAGACUCCCAUGUUUCUCCCCUGAAGCAGAUCAUAAAACUCUCAUGUGAGAGGUGCCCUCUCUCCAUCCAUGGGAAGGGAACACUCUUGCCUCCAAGAUGGAGGGACCCUAGGAAGAAUCUAAAUGAACAGGCCUUGUUUUCCACUCCCCCCCCUUGCUUACUAUACUUAGCUCAUUCUCUUUGCCUUGUCAUAUCUUUCCAUAGCUUUCCACUCAAAUCUAGCACAAAAACAUUCAGGUUUAGCCAUUUCUUUGGAUCUUCAUUUCCUUGGGAAGGUUCCCAUGUCACAGAAAACUUCCAUUAAAUAAAUGUGUGCAAUUUCCUCCUGUUCAUCUGUCUUUGUCAGUUUAAUUUUCAGACCCACUCAGGAAUUCCAAGAGUAUCAAGAGGAAACCUUUUCCUCUCCUAGAAUCCCAAAUUCCUUACUAACAUAAAGGUUUCAUGCACACUGUUACCUCUGCCUACAA
rnacentral:lncRNA from 1 species